GUGGUGCCCCGCCUGGAGCGGGGUGAAACAGGGAAGCCGGUCGAGCCGGCGCUGCCCCCGCAACGGUAGUUGAGCAGUAGCUGCGCGAUGCCCACUGGCCCUGGCCGGGAAGGGGCGCAGCGGAUGCCCUCAGGGCAUCGGCUCACCAGCCCGGAGACCGGCCACGCUU
rnacentral:ncRNA from 1 species